rnacentral:rRNA from 1 species
CCUACGGGUGGCAGCAGUGGGGAAUAUUGGGCAAUGGGCGCAAGCCUGACCCAGCAACGCCGCGUGAAGGAAGAAGGCCCUCGGGUUGUAAACUUCUUUUGUCAGGGACGAAGAAAGUGUCGGUCCCUGACGAAUAAGCCACGGCUAACUACGUGCCAGCAGCCGCGGUAAUACGUAGGUGGCAAGCGUUAUCCGGAUUUACUGGGUGUAAAGGGCGUGUAGGCGGGGCUGCAAGUCAGAUGUGAAAUUCCUGGGCUCAACCCUGGAACUGCAUUUGAAACUGUAGUACUUGAGUGCGGGAGAGGCGGACGGAAUUCCUAGUGUAGCGGUGAAAUGCGUAGAUAUUAGGAGGAACACCAGUGGCGAAGGCGGUCUGCUGGACAGCAACUGACGCUGAGGCGCGAAAGCGUGGGGAGCAAACAGGAUUAGAUACCCCAGUAGUC